GAUGAACGCAAGCUACAGGCUUAACACAUGCAAGUCGCGGGGCAGCAUGGGGGUUGCUUGCAAUCCCCGAUGGCGACCGGCGCACGGGUGAGUAACGCGUAUCCAACCUGCCCUUCACCACGGGAUAACCCGGCGAAAGUCGGACUAAUACCGUAUGUUGUCCAUUGACGGCAUCCGAUUUGGACGAAAGGUUUGGCGGUGAAGGAUGGGGAUGCGUCCGAUUGGCUGGACGGCGGGGUGACGGCCCACCGUGGCGACGAUCGGUAGGGGUUCUGAGGGGAAGGUCCCCCACACUGGAACUGAGACACGGUCCAGACUCCUACGGGAGGCAGCAGUGAGGAAUAUUGGUCAAUGGGCGUAAGCCUGAACCAGCCAAGUAGCGUGCAGGAUGACGGCCCUAUGGGUUGUAAACUGCUUUUAUGCGGGGAUAAAGUGGCCCACGUGUGGGUUUUUGCAGGUACCGCAUGAAUAAGGACCGGCUAAUUCCGUG
rnacentral:rRNA from 1 species